rnacentral:rRNA from 1 species
CUGGUCACUGCUGUCAUGCCCACUGCUGCGUCCCCAGCGGUCAACGUCGCGAGUGUCCGUACCCUUGUCCCUGUGACGCUGGACCUCCACGCCUCCAACUUCACCAAGUGGAGGAUGCUCAUCCGCGUGCUUCUCGGCAAGUACGAUCUGCUCUCCCACGUCAGCACCGUCACUGCAGAGGCGGACCGCACCGCGGACUUGGUUCGCGAGGACUACAUCGUCCGCUCGUGGCUCUAUGGGUCCAUCUCGGACGAGAUCCUUGACAUAAUCAUGGCAGAGGACCAGACGGCGCAUGACGCUUGGAUGCUCAUCACCAACCUAUUUCUUGAUAAUCAGAUGACCCGCGUUGUUUAUCUCGAGGCGGAGUUCCGCGGCCUCGUCCAGGGCGAGCUCUCCAUCACCACCUACUGCCACCGCCUGAAGGCGCUCUCCGACGCCCUCAGUGACGUUGGCACCCCCAUCUCCGACCAGACGCUUGUCCUCAAUUGCCUCCGUGGUCUCAAUCCGCGUUUCUCGGACAUCACGACGAUAGUCACCAUGCAGAACCCUCUUCCUUCGUUCAGCCAGACGAGGUCACUGCUUACUCUCCGCGAGACUCAGCUCGCGAAUUCCAUGGCGAUAGGGCACCAGACGGCCCUCAAUGGAGGCGCGCCUCCUCAUGGAGCCAGUGGCUCCACCUCCUCCGAUUCCCACCGCGGACCUGACCGUGGCGACAACACUCGGCAUGGCGGCGACGGCCCUCGCUGCGGCAACACCUCCGGGGGUGGCUCCUCUGGCGGACAGCGCAACAACGGCAACUGGAAGAAGAAGAAGGGCUCCGGCGGCGGGAACGGCGGCGGCGGCCGCUCCAACUACAACGACGGCAACAUCCAACAUGGGGCGCCCUCGUCUAUUGGCCCCUGGGUCUGCUUCAAUCCCUAUACGGGGCAGGCCCAGCAGCUGUUUCAGGCGCCCCUAACGGCACGGCCCAAUGCUGGCGCUGGACUCCUCGGGCCGCGACCCCCCGUCCUUCCGCCGGCUCAGGCGUUUACCUCUCUCGCGCCGCUGCACGGCCAGGCUUUCGGCACCAACCCGCCGCCCACUCCUGCCUAUGGCGACACUCCGGCGUGGGACUGCUCCGCCCUCCUCGCUGCACUGAACAACGCCGCGACUCCUUCGACAGUGGGUGAAUGGGUAAUGGACUCUGGAGCCACAGCACACAUGGCCUCCGACCCCGGU